GAUGAACGCUGGCGGCGUGCCUAAUACAUGCAAGUCGAGCGAACGGACGAGAAGCUUGCUUCUCUGAUGUUAGCGGCGGACGGGUGAGUAACACGUGGAUAACCUACCUAUAAGACUGGGAUAACUUCGGGAAACCGUAGCUAAUACCGGAUAAUAUUUUGAACCGCAUGGUUCAAAAGUGAAAGACGGUCUUGCUGUCACUUAUAGAUGGAUCCGCGCUGCAUUAGCUAGUUGGUAAGGUAACGGCUUACCAAGGCAACGAUGCAUAGCCGACCUGAGAGGGUGGUCGGCCACCCUGGAACUGAGACACGGUCCAGACUCCUACGGGAGGCAGCAGUAGGGAAUCUUCCGCAAUGGGCGAAAGCCUGACGGAGCAACGCCGCGUGAGUGAUGAAGGUCUUCGGAUCGUAAAACUCUGUUAUUAGGGGAGAACAUAUGUGUAAGUAACUGUGCACAUCUUGACGGUACCUAAUCAGAAAGCCACGGCUAACUACGUG
rnacentral:rRNA from 1 species